rnacentral:rRNA from 1 species
AUUGAACGCUGGCGGCAGGCCUAACACAUGCAAGUCGAGCGAGCGGCGGACGGGUGAGUAAUGCCGGGGAACCUGCCGGAUGGGGGGGGAUAAUUACUGGAAAGGGUAGCUAAUACGCCUUACCAUCAGAGAGCCCUACGUGGGAUUAGCUAGUAGGGGGGGUAACGGCUCGCCUAGGCGACGAUCCCUAGCUGGUCUGAGAGGAUGACCAGCCACACUGGGACUGAGACACGGUCCAGACUCCUACGGGAGGCAGCAUUGGGUAAUAUUGCACAAUGGGCGCAAGCCAGAUGCAGCCAUGCCGCGUGUGUGAAGAAGGCCUUCUGGUUGUAAAACACUUUCAGCGGGGAGGCGUUACCCGCAGAAGAAGCACCGGCUAACUCCGUGCCAGCAGCCGCGGUAAUAC